UACGGAGGGUGCGAGCGUUAAUCGGAAUUACUGGGCGUAAAGCGUACGCAGGCGGUUUGUUAAGCGAGAUGUGAAAGCCCCCCGGGCGUCAACCUACGGGAACGUAGCAUUUCGUAACUGGCAAACUAAGAGUGUGAUAGAGGGUGGUAGAAUUUCUAGGUGUAGCGGUGAAAUAGCGUAGAGAUCUGAAGGAAUACCGAUGGCGAAGGCAGCCACCUGGGUCAACACUGACGCUCAUGUACGAAAGACGUGGGGAGGCAAACAGGAUUAGAUACCCCGUACGU
rnacentral:rRNA from 1 species